rnacentral:rRNA from 1 species
CCUACGGGGGGCUGCAGUGGGGAAUAUUGCACAAUGGACGAAAGUCUGAUGCAGCAACGCCGCGUGGAGGAUGACACAUUUCGGUGCGUAAACUCCUUUUAUAUGAGAAGAUAAUGACGGUAUUAUAUGAAUAAGCACCGGCUAACUCCGUGCCAGCAGCCGCGGUAAUACGGGGGGUGCAAGCGUUACUCGGAAUCACUGGGCGUAAAGAGCAUGUAGGCGGAUUAAUAAGUUUGAAGUGAAAUCCUAUAGCUUAACUAUAGAACUGCUUUGAA